rnacentral:misc_RNA from 1 species
UUAAUUAAAUUAAAAUUUUAUACUCAGACGACUGGUUUAAUACAAGAGUUUGGUUGGACUCUGGCGGGCGCUCGCCAAUCCGAAGACCGGCGCGCUCGAGACCGAACGGUCCCGCCAAAGCAACAAGGUAGUUUUAACAACAGAGGGUUGGAGGUUCGGGCCAGAGACCCUUACUCUUUAAUGAUCCUUCCGCAGGUUCACCUACGGAAA